rnacentral:lncRNA from 1 species
AGAAUACUGAAUGGGGAGGGAGGAACGUGCUUUGACCCUGGGACAGCUCACAGGAGGAAGGCCCAGCACGGCCUGGCUUCCCCGGGGGGUCUUGUCGCCAGGGCAGCCAAAAGAAGCGUGUGUCGUGGAGUAGCGAUAAUAAUCCAGUGUCGGCCUCGGGCUUCAAAGACAAAAGGCAGCCGCGGAGGGAGGAGUCAGCAGCGCCUGGAGAUAGCAGAACCACUUUGGAACGCGGGAGAAAGUGCAAACGAGGACUCCAGGUCGCGUCCCGGAUCCGCCGCCACGGUCGCUUGCCGCAGGGGUCUCCUUCCUUUGCCGGCAGCUAGCGCGACCUCUUUUAUCCUUGCAGGCCACCAUCUUCGCGGCAGCAAGCAUAAUUUCCUAUGCAGUUGCAAAGCGGGCUCCCUUGCAAUCAGCGAUCAAUAAGAGCAAAGUGGCUCCAGGAUAGGAAAGGUCGCACGUGUGUCUGUAAAUCGAAAGGUUGAUGAGGCGCAGGUGGUCCUGCUCCGCGGAGAUUGCGGUAUUAGCAUGUCAAAGCCAAAAUGGAACCAAGGUAUGCAAGGCACAGAGGCUCUCUUCCUGGGGCUCUGAGAAGGCCUGGCACGACCCUCUUGAGCCUUUGGUUUAAAAUGAAAGGCUGGCGCCAGAUGUGGCCACCACAUUGCUGAUAAGUCCAGUACCUUCCAUUUGUGCGAAGCUUUGUGAUUUAAGGUUAAGUGGUUUUUCUUACAUUCUCUCAUUUGAGCCUCAUAAAGACAGCGUGAAGUCUGUAGUGAGGAAAAGCCCUAUUUUAACAGAAUAGGAACAGAAGGAUCAAGCUGGGACUUGAAUCUGGGGUUUACUGACCCCUGCCUGACUUUCCAUCCACUAGGCUACUUGGUACAACUACACGUCAGGUUAUUUGGAUUUUGUUUUUUUCUUUUUCAGCCUUUAUUUAGCAGCUACUACCAGAUUAGGUAAUAGGCACAUAGAGACAGAAGACAUACAUUCCCUACCCUGGCUGUGCUGUUCAACAGAGUAGCACUAGCCACACAUGGCAAUUUAAAAUUAAUGAAAAUUCAGUAAAAUUUAAAGUUCCUCAAUUUGACUGCCACAAUUUAAAGUGCUCAGAAGCCAUAGGUGCCUAGUGGCUACUGUAUUAAGCAGGGCAGAAAGUUCUACUGGACAGCACUGUGUCUAGAUGCCCACAGUCUAGUGAAGAUUAAAGACAGUCUCACUUCUUUUCUGUCCUAUUUACUAUGUCCUUGAAGUUCAGUUGUUCCUUGGUGCAUGCAUGUCUGUCUGUCUCUCUCUCUCUCUCUCUCUCUUUUUGAGACACAGUAUUGCUCUGUCACCAGGCUGGAGUGCAGUGACAUGAUCUUGGCUCACUGCAACCUUCCCCUCCCCAGUUCAUUCAAGUGAUUCUCCUGCCUCAGUCUCCCAAGUAGCUGGGACUACAAGCACGUACCACCAUGCCCAGCUUUUUUUUUUUUUUUUUUUUUUUUUAAUAGAGAUGGGUUUCACCAUGUUGGCCAGGAUGGUCUUGAUCUCUUUACCUCGUGAUCCACCCACCUCAGCCUCCCAAAGUGCUGGGAUUAUAGGUGUGAGUCACCAGGCCCAGCCGCCCAGCCGUGUGCCUCGUACUUUCCAAAAGACGACCUGAGCAGUUUUCAGCUUUACUGAGGUCAAGGGUGCAUGCAAUGGAUGCUCCCAUUCUCAUGCACAAGUCAAUGAGUUUUGACUAAUGUGAACAACUGUGUAAACACUGCCAUAAUCAAGACACAAAACAUUUAUAUUUUAGCAAAAUAUUCCCCUUGUCCUUUCCCACUCAUUCUGUUACUGGAAAGGUUCCUGAUCCAGACCCCAAGGGAGGGUACUUGGAUCUCCCAUAAGAAAGAAUUCAGGGCUUUCCAUAAAGGGAAAGCAAGUUUAUUAAGAAAGUAACGCAUCCCCUCAAGGGCUGCCGAUUGCCCAUUUUAUGGUUAUUUCUUGAUUAUAUGCUAAACAAGCAGUAGAUUAUUCAGGCCUCCCCUUUUUUGACCAUAUUAGGUAACUUCCCGACGUUGCCAUGGCAUUUGUAAAUUGUUAUGCCACAGGUAGGAGCAUAGCAGCGAGGAGGCCCAGAGGUUACUCUCCUUGUCAUCUUGGUUUUGGUGGGUUUUGGCUAGCUUCUUUACUGCAACCUGUUUUAUUAGCAAAGUCUUUAUGAACCGUAUCUCGUGCUGACAUUCUGUUUCAUUCUGUGACCUAGAACGCCUUAACUGGGAAUGCAGCCCAGCAGGUCUCAGCCUCAUUUUACCCAGCCUGUAUUCAAGAUGGAGUUGCUCUGGUUCAAAUUCCUCUGACAAUUCCUCCCCAACUGUUGUUCCAGGCAAGACUGGCCUAUUUUCUGUCAUUAUCUAUUAAAUUUUCGUUUCUAGAGUUUUUAAAAAAAAUUGAAUUAUAUAAUAUUUAUUAUUUUAUCUUCUUUCCCUCAGUACAGUGUUUCUGAGAUUCAUCCAUGUUGUUGCAUGUAUCAGGAGUUAGUUCCUUUCUAUUGCUGAGUAAUAUUCUUUUGUAUGGCUGUAUCACAAUUUCUUUAUUCAAACAAUUGACCUCGCCUGUUGAUAGACAUUGGAGUUGUUUCCAGUUUUGACUAUUAAGAAUAAAGUUGCUAUGAACAUACCAGCUUUGUGAGGACAUGUUUCUACUUCCUAACUGAUUGCUGGGUCAUAUGCUAAAUAUAUGUUUACCUCCAAAAGAAACUGCCAAACUGUUUCCAAAGUGACUAUGGCAUUUUGCUUCCUGUUUG